UACAGAGGGUGCAAGCGUUAAUCGGAAUUACUGGGCGUAAAGAGCUCGUAGGUGGUUUGUCGCGUUGUUCGUGAAAACUCACAGCUUAACUGUGGGCGUGCGGGCGAUACGGGCAGACUGGAGUACUGCAGGGGAGACUGGAAUUCCUGGUGUAGCGGUGGAAUGCGCAGAUAUCAGGAGGAACACCGGUGGCGAAGGCGGGUCUCUGGGCAGUAACUGACGCUGAGGAGCGAAAGCGUGGGGGAGCGAACAGG
rnacentral:rRNA from 1 species